UACAGAGGUCUCAAGCGUUGUUCGGAUUCAUUGGGCGUAAAGGGUGCGUAGGCGGCGCGGGAAGGCGGGUGUGAAAUCUCGGAGCUUAACUCCGAAACUGCAUUCGAUACUGCCGUGCUUGAGGACUGGAGAGGAGACUGGAAUUUACGGUGUAGCGGUGAAAUGCGUAGAUAUCGUAAGGAAGACCAGUGGCGAAGGCGGGUCUCUGGACAGUUCCUGACGCUGAGGCACGAAGGCCAGGGGAGCAAACGGG
rnacentral:rRNA from 1 species